rnacentral:piRNA from 1 species
AAAGACUUAAGAGACAGGUGCAAAA